AACGAACGCUGGCGGCAUGCCUAACACAUGCAAGUCGAACGAGAUCUUCGGGUCUAGUGGCGCACGGGUGCGUAACGCGUGGGAAUCUGCCCUUUGGUUCGGAAUAACAGUUGGAAACGACUGCUAAUACCGGAUGAUGACGAAAGUCCAAAGAUUUAUCGCCAGAGGAUGAGCCCGCGUAGGAUUAGCUAGUUGGUGUGGUAAAGGCGCACCAAGGCGACGAUCCUUAGCUGGUCUGAGAGGAUGAUCAGCCACACUGGGACUGAGACACGGCCCGGUCUCCUACGGGAGGCAGCAGUGGGGAAUAUUGGACAAUGGGCGAAAGCCUGAUCCAGCAAUGCCGCGUGAGUGAUGAAGGCCUUAGGGUUGUAAAGCUCUUUUACCCGGGAUGAUAAUGACAGUACCGGGAGAAUAAGCUCCGGCUAACUCCGUGCCAGCCGCCGCAGUAACAC
rnacentral:rRNA from 1 species